AUUGAACGCUGGCGGCAGGCCUAAUACAUGCAAGUCGAGCGGAUGAAGGGAGAUUGUUCCUGGCUUCAGUGGCGGACGGGCGAGUAAUGACUAGGUAUCUGACUGGUCGAGGGGGCUAACGUCCGGUCACGGGCGCUAAUCCCGUACACGUCAUGAGGGUGAACGUGGGGGAUCUUUGGACAUCACGCUUUCAGAUGUGCCUAGGACGGAUUAGCUAGUUGGUAAGGUAAAGGCUUACCAAGGCGACGAUCCGUAGCUGAUCUGAGAGGAUGAUCAGCCACACUGGAACUGAGACACGGUCCAGACUCCUACGGGAGGCAGCAGUAGGGAAUAUUCCGCAAUGGGCGAAAGCCUGAUGGAGCCAUGCCGCGUGAGUGAUGAAGGUCUUCGGAUCGUAAAACUCUGUUAGUAGGGAAGAACAACAGUGUAAGUAACUCUGCCUGUUUUGACGGUACCUACAGAGAAAGCAACGGCUAACUACGUG
rnacentral:rRNA from 1 species